GUAGGUGAACCUGCGGAAGGAUCAUUAAUGAAAUACAAGGGUGUUCUUUUUAGAAGCCCGAACUAAAUCAUUUUCACACUGUGCACUAUACUAUUUUUACACCCAUUUUAAACCCAUUACAAGUUAUAAGAAUGUCAACAGUCUCUUAAUUGAGCAUAAACAAAACAAAACUUUCGACAACGGAUCUCUUGGCUCCC
rnacentral:misc_RNA from 1 species